rnacentral:rRNA from 1 species
UGGCGGCAGUAGCGCGGUGGUCCCACCUGACCCCAUGCCGAACUCAGAAGUGAAACGCCGUAGCGCCGAUGGUAGUGUGGGGUCUCCCCAUGUGAGAGUAGGGAAUCGCCA